UUACAAGAAAAUACACACUCCAUAGAAUGGCAGGCCCUGUAUUACUUUCUGUCAAUUCAUUUAAAAAUGUCCAGCUAUAUGGGGAUGACGCAGCAUUCCAUGCAAUGGUAGCAGAGCUGAAGUGGAUCAGAUCGGAUAUGACAUUAUGCAACAGAGAUGUGG